GGGGAUAUAGCUCAGUGGUAGAGCGCCCGCUUUGCAUGCGGGAUGCCGAGGGUUCAAACCCCUCUAUCUCCA
rnacentral:tRNA from 1 species